CAGCAGCCGCGGUAAUACGUAGGGUGCGAGCGUUAAUCGGAAUUACUGGGCGUAAAGCGUGCGCAGGCGGUUCGUUAAGACAGAUGUGAAAUCCCCGGGCUUAACCUGGGAAUGGCAGUGGAUACUGGCAAGCUAGAGUGUGUCAGAGGAUGGUGGAAUUCCCGGUGUAGCGGUGAAAUGCGUAGAGAUCGGGAGGAACAUCAGUGGCGAAGGCGGCCAUCUGGGACAACACUGACGCUGAGGCACGAAAGCGUGGGGAGCAAACAGGAUUAGAUACCCCCGUAGUCCCUGUCUCUUAUAC
rnacentral:rRNA from 1 species